rnacentral:lncRNA from 1 species
GGAAAAAUUGUCAAUCGAGAUAUCCAGCAAAGCUAGUUCUCAAAAGUGAACCUGAGAUAAAGGCAUUCCCACAUACAGAAAAGCAGGUUUUGUUCCUAGCAGACUUCACAGCCUCCAAGAAAAGAAAGCUUAAAGGAAGUACUGAAGAAAGUUUUUCCACACUGAAACAAAUUAAAUUUUAGAUGGUAGAUGCCACACACACACACACACACACACACACACACUGCCAAUAUUGGUAAUUGUAUUGUGUAAUAAUAAAAGACUCUAUAAAUCCUUAUUUUUUCUCUUAGUGUAAAAAGCAGCAGUAUAAAAUGAUAUGUAUAUAAUGUACAGUUGGGUAGAAGACAUAGAAAUAUAAUAUAUAUGCCAAUGAUAGCACAGAAGAGGUGGGAGGCUGCAAAGCUGAACUGGGAUAAGGAGGUGAUUCUAGAUUGAACUCACAGGAACGCAUGAAGAGAACCAGAAAUGAUAAGUAGUACUGUGAGCAUAGCAUACACUAAAAUACAUAAAUAACGGCUGCACAUACAACAGUUUUCCAAUGAAAUUAUAAUGUGAGGAUGAGAUUAAUGUCUGGCUGAGUCAGGAGGGCCGCACUCAUCUCUCGUGAGAAAACUCCAAAAAACUAUUAGGGCUGGAAUAAUCUGCCCCCUUGGGUGUGUGAAGAGCUGACUUUAGACAAAUAAACUGCUCCUCUCAAAAACCUCUGAAGUCCUGACUGCAUUCGCCUCAGCCCCCAAAAUAUACAAUCCAAAAAUUGACAUGUGGCCAAUAAGGAUGUGCCAAAUAUCCCAACUCCAACCUGGCUCCACCCCUGCCUUUCCCCAUCCAAUAGCGAUCCAGUAGUGCCACGCUGGCGCCACCCCGCCUUAACUAUAUAAGCCUGUGCAUUUCCUGAAUAAAGUGGAAGCGUUUCAGAAACCUCCCCGGAGUCUGCGUGGUGAUCUCCUGCCUUGCCCUCCCAGUCCAGGCCCCCUGAACUCUGUUCCAAGCCGGCUCAUGGGCGAAAACAACUGGCACCGGAACAGGGGAUUCGCAUAUACGGGAAAUGAUUUUGCUAGAAAUUAUAUUUUGCUAGAACAGCCCUGGCCAUUUGGGUCCCCGUUGAUCUCCAUAUGGAAUGAAAAAAUUCAGAUCCUCUCUUUAGUCUUAUGCUUCAUCCCCGCAAUAAGAGAUUUUGAAAUUUCCGCCCUUAUUGCUGUCAUCGUUUCCAUGGUGGACAACAGCAGCGGUCACCUCACAAAAUCAGCAGCAGUCAACCAGCUAACAAAAAACAUUACCCAAGUCUUCAAAAAGACCACCCUGCUAUGUCAAGAUGUCCGCGCAGCUGUACUCAAUUUACAAAUCCAAUUAAACUGAGUUUGGGAGGAAUUAAUACCCAGGUGUUAGAUGUUGAAACUUUAACUAAUGUGUGGGAUACCAUUUGGUCAAAAAUCCAGGCUGGAUAGAAUUAUUUGAGUAGUUGGAUACAUGGAUUGAGAUUGGGAUCCCCAUAUGUAUUAACCUCAUUUGGCAUAUUGUUAUUGUUCGUUAUUUUAAAGAUCAGACUGCCAGUAACAAAAUCAUAAAGAUGUGGUCCUUUUGGCAGAGGCUCCGGGAAUCAAAGACAAAAGGGUGAACUGAGGAUCAGAUUAAUGUCUGGCUGAGUCAGGAGCGCCACAAUGCACCCAUCUCUCCUGAGAAAACUACUAGGGCUGGAAUAAUCAGCCCCCUCGGGUGUGUGGAGAGCUGACCUUAGACAGAUAAACUGUUUCUCUCAAAAACCUCUGAAAUCCUGACUCCAUUGCCUCAACCCCUAAAACAUACAAUCGAAAAACUAGUAUGUGGCCAAUAAGGAUGUGCCAAAUAUCCUGACUCCAACCUGGCUCCACCCCUGCCUUACCCCAUCCAAUAGCGAUCCAGUAGUGCCACGCUGGCUCCACCCCUGCCUUAACUAUAGAAGCCUGUGCAUUUCCUGAAUAAAGCGGAAGAGUUUCAGAAACCUCCCGGGAGUCUGUGUGGUGAUUUCCCGCCUUGCCCUCCCAGUCCGGGCCCCCUGAACUCUAUUCCGCGAGCGUGCUGGACGAGAACAAUACUAAUAGAGCUGAAAAAUCCCUAACCCCCUGAUUCUUCCAUUGUCAAAACCACAUACAAUGCGCCACCUAUGUUUGUGUCAAAACACUCGUGUACAAAACCUACUGCACCACCAGUUGUAUGAAAGGAUAGCGCUUAAAAUGAUAGGCUGUGGCAUCGGACCAUAACACAUGACUGUUACUUGUUCAUGUAUUUACUAUAAUUUUGUCAUUAUUUUAGACUCUCUUCCUCCCAAUUUCAUUUUUUAAAAACAGGUAAGUGACACAGCACGGGUAGGUGCUCCAGCAGCUGUUCCAGUACUGUGAGCACGGAAUGUUGCCCCACUGCCAUUGAUUCAUUUUUCUAGGG